rnacentral:rRNA from 1 species
GUCGAACGGUAACAGGAUAGCUUGCUAUCGCUGACGAGUGGCGGACGGCCGUGUAAUACUUAGGGAUCUGCCCUUUGGAGGGGGAUAACCAUUGGAAACGAUGGCUAAUACCACAUAAUGUCUACGGACCAAAGGGGGCUUCGGCUUCCACCAGAGGAUGAACCUAAGCGAGAUUAGCUUGUUGGUGAGGUAACGGCUCACCAAGGCGACGAUCUCUAGCUGUUCUGAGAGGAAGAUCAGCCACACUGGAACUGAGACACGGUCCAGACUCCUACGGGAGGCAGCAGUGGGGAAUAUUGCACAAUGGGGGAAACCCUGAUGCAGCCAUGCCGCGUGUGUGAAGAAGGCCUUAGGGUUGUAAAGCACUUUCAGUUGUGAGGAAAGGUUUACGGUUAAUACCCGUAAGCUGUGACGUUAGCAACAGAAGAAGCACCGGCUAACUCCGUGCCAGCAGCCGCGGUAAUACGGAGGGUGCAAGCGUUAAUCGGAAUUACUGGGCGUAAAGCGCACGCAGGCGGUUAUAUAAGCCAGAUGUGAAAGCCCCGGGCUUAACCUGGGAGAGUCAUUUGGAACUGUAUAACUAGAGUCUUGGAGAGGGGAGUGGAAUUCCAGGUGUAGCGGUGAAAUGCGUAGAUAUCUGGAGGAACAUCAGUGGCGAAGGCGACUCCCUGGCCAAAGACUGACGCUCAUGUGCGAAAGUGUGGGUAGCGAACAGGAUUAGAUACCCUGGUAGUCCACACCGUANACGCUGUCUACUAGCUGUUUGUGGUUUUUUAACCGUGAGUAGCGAAGCUAACGCGCUAAGUAGACCGCCUGGGGAGUACGGCCGCAAGGUUAAAACUCAAAUGAAUUGAC